GAAAGUCUCAUCAACGAUUCAUCAACGGCUGAAUAUUCUCAAUUUCCUAGCUAACCUACGCUCUCUGAAGAAUAAGUUGCAACAUCUGGGUUGCUUGAGCACCUGGUGCAAUUCCAUCGGAAGCUUCACAACGUUGUCUAAGAAUCGCGAUCGCAAAGUGUCACGAAGCAAGCCAUCAUCUUGUCUUACCUAACGAUCGUCCCUGAGCGAGCCAAGUGGCAAUAUCGACGGUCUAUACAAACUCCAUCCAUCCAUCCAGCGAUCUCCAAAAAUAUUGCCGCCGCGAGUGCUGCGAGGCCCAUCACGGUGAAGGAGUCGUGCUCUCGAGCAGAGUCGGAUCGCGGUCCAAGGUGCCAGGCGUAUUCCUGCAAAGGCAUUCGAUCGUUAGUUAAAGGGCAAUCCGUUAAAGGUGCAGAGAGGCGCAGGGGAAGGUUCCCCCGACGCCUGGUACGCACACAAUACCCCGGCCGCAGAACAGAUAGAGAACGAGAAGAGAAGAGAAGAGAAGAGAACGAAACGCGUCCGGAGGGUCCCGUGCCGGCAGAUGAAUCCUAAGCAAUUUCUCGCUGGUCGGGCCUCUUUGAUGCUUUGAACUCUCACCGCGCUAACCGAUCCUCCUGGUAAUCACGCGGCCCUCGCCACGCCCCGAAAAACACCUUCGAUCCUCCAGUCUCUCGCCUCUUGCUCUCUUCUCAGCCUCCUUUGAUCCUUUUCUCCGCUCGAAAACACGCUCUUCCUUUUUUUUUUAUCCCUUGGCUUCGUCCUAUCCUUCUUCGCUCUAAGCUGUGGCAUUUACUCUGUUUCUAUCUGUUCGCUCUACUCUUCAGUCUCUUCGAAGGUUCUUAUAUAUCUUUUCUCUUUUUUCUUCUCUUCUUGCUCGCUUUUUGUCUUUUUCAUUUGCUUUCGUUCGUUCGAGCUUGGAUCACAUAAGAGGAGAACACUGUUUUCGAUGGUUCAUCGACGUGUUUCUCGCUACGUCUAGCAGUUCGUUGCUGCGUUUCAGCGACUUCUCCACAUCCAAAGGCUUCUCAGGCCGAGUUUACACCAAAGUAGCGAUAGCGUUAUACCGUAAACAGUUAUCGAAUUUCACGAAUCUGUUCGCAAACUCGUCUACAACGAUUCCAAAAUCGUCUAAACUCGGUCUGGUCCCCGAGCGCGCGAUCGCAGCGCCCUUAAGGCUGGUUCACACACGGCCAGUAGUUUAAGUAAGUUGAAGCAGCGAGUAAAGCCGAAUUGACGAUAUUCGCGUUGUAGGAUCACCGUGGACGAAGACGAAAACGUUACUUUUCCGCGAAUCAACAGCGUAAAUCGUCCGCUUUGCUCGAUUAAACCUGUGGCCGUGUAUGAACCAGCCUUUACAGCACUCGGACGUUCGAUUUCCGGUUCGACGUGCGAUCGUCGAACAACGAAACGACGCUUUUGACGCGAUUGAAUAUUCGCAAAGCGGAGGGAAAAAGGGCGCCCGCAGAAGUCGGUGAAAACGCACCUUGACGAGGGCGCGCGACUGCCGACAGUGGCGACUAAUGUCUGCACGCGCGAGCGCACGAGCGAACGUGUUUUCUUGGCACCUGUUUCACUCCUCGUUUCGAGGGUUUUUCUGCCUACUGCCACGCUCUGCGUUUCCUCCUUCGCUCGUUUCUUUGGCGAGGGUUUAGGAAGCUGCAGCGCUCCAUGAUAAUACGCCGGAGCUUCCGUUUCUUUUUGUCCGCCUGACUCGUACAGAUCGCGUCCUACGUAUUUCUAUUGGGUUGGCAACUAAGUGAUUGCAGAAUUUGUCAUUACCACCUAAUGGUAAAAUCGCCAAUCACUUAGUUGCCAUCCGAAUACAUCGUGAUCUUGUCAUUCGGCGAAGUAGUAGAUAUUUCUUCACAUUAAACAGGUAAUAGAUACUGUGUAUCUACUGCAACAACGAACAUGGAGUACAAAACUGUGUAGCAGUGUGAAUCCAUCUAUCUUCGUAGCGACAUGUUGAAACUUACGGUUGUCGUUGAGAAAUAUACGGCCAAUUAAUUGUUUCUCACGGAAUACAAAUCGGUUAGAAAAUUGCAAGUAGGAAGGAUCGGCAUGAGAAUCCUAUCGCGGUAUAUCGCGAGAUAAAAUUUGUUGUUGAAGGGCAGCGAAAAGAUGAGCAUCUAAGAAGCGCCAACCUGUCGAUCGAUAAACUAUCUUACAUUUUAUUAUCGUUUUAUGUCACGACAGGAAGGGAACGCGUUACAACACUCCGUGUUUAUUAUUAUAGCGUCGUUUUAUCUUACGAAUAUUUUGGAAUAUCGUAGAAUUGGAAAGGCAGCGACGUGUAUCUUAAAAAUGGAAAAUAUGCACGAAAGAUGAAAAUAAAUGGGAAAUUGGGAUACGUGGGAUUGCGGACGUGGCAAAUAUUGAAAGUAAUAAAAUUUCAGGUUGAUACGAUCCCAUUACCGCUCAUGACGCCAUAAUCACAACCGUGGGAUCUGAUUUCAAGCUUUUGAUCGGCAAUUCCGGAGAUUGUAUCUCUAACGACCUCGAUCGGCUCUUUAAUUUUUCCUCCUUCCUCUUCCUUAUCCUUCUGUGCGCAGCAUCAAACUACAUAAUCAGUAUAAAUUAUGCAUCUUCUUGUUAAAAAAAGCCACGAUAAAUUUUCGCUUAUAUAAAUUUGCUCGUUCGUGUUGCUCUUGCUUUUGCUUCUAUAAUUAUGUCGCUAUUAAAUAGCUCGCCAUAAAACGAUUGAUAUUUUUCCCUCUGUCGUUUCUUCAGUUAAAAGCAACAAACGAUCCCCUCUUUCGAGUAGUUAUUUUUUAUUUGUAUUAGAAAUCAAAUUUACCCAAGCCUGCCUCCCAUAUAUAAUCAUUCACAAAGAAAACAUACAAAAGGAAGGACGGAUGAAAACGUAAGGUUAAUAAGUUUACAGUAGAAGCCAAUAAUACAGCAGGGGAGAAAAAAGCGGAAUCUCAGAUGUUAACCGAACAACUAUAAUCAUUAAUCAAAUCUCCCUCGCCCUUUUCUCGCUGCCCCGAUCCUCCCUCAGCGAUAAGUAAUUCAUUAGGCAUUGACUAACUCCAUCUGGCCGUCUAUUAAGAAGGCCAGCGAGAGGGAAGAACCGUGACCAAUUGAGUAAAUAAUACACGUGAAAUUUGAGAAAGUCCGCUGUCCUUCGCUGUGAAACUUGCUGAGAGCGAAACGCAGGAUAAUAGAAAUAACGAUCCGUCCAAGAGCUGAUUAAUUUCAAUCUUCCGCUGCACGUCUCUUCGUACAAUCUGCCACUCUAUCGGUUUUCUUCGUCCAAAUUUUGCUUCUUCUUUUUCUUCUUCUUCUUCUUCUUCUUCUUCUUCUUCUUCUCUGGCAACGGUAUAAGUAAACGUUAUUAAGACGAUUAAAAAAUCAACGAGACACGGAUGUUCAUGUACUUGCGAAUUUUGAUUGGACAGUUUAAUCGUGCGCAUGAAUGUAUAGAAAUUGUGAAAAAUAUUUCUACGAUAUGUCAACGUAAUACUUACGGUGUUUAGGAAGUGAAAGGAGUCUGUGUUUAAGCGCCUUUUCUUCUAUGUGUCAUCUGGCGUGUAUGAUAUCUGGAAUCUACGCGUAUCCUUGGAUUAACCGGUCAUUCAUUCAUCCAGUUGAGGUCGCAUAAAGACCGGUUGAAAGAAACUCCGCCGUAAUUGCUACGAAAAUUGAAAUUCCUCCGCGAAAUACCAGAAAAGAAAAAAGGAACAGAAGAGCAGCGGGACAUCAAGAGUUACAUCAAGACGCUCGUACCAAAAUCUAACGACCACCGACAAACCAGGACGAACGAGCGGCCAAGGCAGCAGCGCGAGAAAGCGACGAAGACCCCAGAAUAGGAUCAAGGACACGAGCAAAAUAGCCUGCGAAGAAGAAGACGAAAAUCAGCGAAGAACAAGAAGAAGAGGAAAAUAGCGGAGGAAGAAACAGGCGAAGACGAAGAGGAGGAAGAUGCAAGGAAAGAAGCAGCACAAAGGGAAGUAAAGGAGAGGCACGAGAGCAAGCAAGAUGGUAAAAGGAGGAGAAGGAUGCUCCUAAUUCGUAGUUCGGGGCGGGGUUUUUUUCGGCGAUAGAGAGGAGGAGAGCGAGGCUGAGCAUUGGUGAAACAGAGACAGAGACAGGCACAAAGCGAGCUGAGGUAUAAAUUGGUUUGUUUGCCGCGGAGAUAAAAGGGGCCGCUAAAUGUUAUCUUUAAGGUGUCGGAUCAACGCAAAUGUGGCUGAGUUACUCGUAAUUAUAGUAUACACGGGCCGAGACCCUCGCCUCUACCUGCCGCGCCAUCGGCCGCCGCUCUCCUCUCUUCUUCUCCUUUCUCUUUCUCUCUCUGUUGCCUCGUUUCAACCCAUUGGCGUAACUAUCGAUCGCGAUCCGAUCUACGGGCCGAGAUACCGACCGACAGAGGCGAUACUUGUUUGGUUAGACUGGAAUAUCCACGGGUGGGGCAACGAGCAGCGCGAGGGACCAUCCUCCUCUCUAUCUUCGGACAACCACUUGGCUUGGGUCAGAAGCGAUAUGCUGUUGCUCGCCUUGAUAUACACACUCUAUGAAGAAUUCUCUAAGACAGUCAGUUUAUUGGUUUCUACAAAAGGGUGUUUUGUUUAGACACUUAGAGAUGGAGCUGACGGAAUGCUGCAGUUAGAGAGAACAUGAGCAAGGUAACGAAUUAUACUCACACGGUUCUUACGACUUAUUGCCAUUUAAUUCUCUUGAUGCGCACAGUUCCAACUUCUUCGCUAGACAAACGUUGCUCUCGUUAUCGAAACGAGGGCGAGGAUGCCAUGUACGUAGAUAUAUGUACGUAGGUGAGAAGACAGGUUAGAAUAUUUGAAAUUUGAAGAGCCGAUAACUCGCUGCAACAGAGAGAGUGAUUUGAAUAGCGCGUUGCUUAUGAUAUGAACGUAGCGUAGCUUGAAAAUACGCGGACGAUUUCUUUUCAAGAAAAAAAGAGGUCUUUCGUGGAUCUUCUUUGUUUACAUUUUCUAAUAUCUGCUAAAAAAAAAUAAAAGGGUGGGUUACCAACGGCGCACAGAAUUCCUAAGGGGCGGUCACCCAUCUUAGUACCUCUCCGUGCCGCGCGCUGCUUAACUCUGGCGAUCGGAUGAAAACCAGCAUUUUCAGCGCGCUUUCGUCGUUGGCGCAGGUUAAGUGUUUUUCUAGAAAAACGAAGAACACAGUUUGAUAAAACUUAAGAAUUAUUUCGUUUCUCUCAAUGACAAUAUAAAGGAUAGAAAGAUACGAAAGCAUAGUACUUGUAAAGAUCUGAUAUAGCACUUCCCAUUUCCAUAAAUACAGGCCUUGUAGGACAAAGAUAAGGAAAAAAGUAGAAAUGUUCGGGAGACCAUCUAUCUUCAAUGGGAAAAAGUUGAUAAUUAUUUGCUUUGAGCUUCUAUGUUCUAUCGACGCUAACGUUUUAUGUCUACUAAUAAUAAAGGGAAACACCGUGGAACAUCGAAAAUUACCAGUUAACAAGAGCAAUAAGGAAAUUAAUUGUACGACGUAACAAGCAUGAAUAUCUUUUUAAAUCAAUACUUUGAUUCUGCCAUGUAUAAGAUAUAAAAGCAAAGAUAUUAAUUAAAUUACCUGUAACUUAAGUCGAUAAAUAGAAUCGAAUACCAUUCGCAUUAAAAGCAUAAUAUCCAAAGGUAAAAGUAUUAAUGAUCAUUGAUUUCUUACUUCGAAAUAAAAUAUAAUUUACUGUUAUAAGGAAAAUAAAAGUUUUCUGCUAUCCAGAUACAUUUCAUACGGAUUUCGUAUGAAAUCUAUGAAUUUUGUGCAAAUUUUAUAUCUGAAAUCACGUCGUAAAAAUGACAAAAAAGGGGGGGGGGGAUUCAAAUAAUUUCCUUUCUUUCCUCCUGUGUUUUACAAUCUCCUUCUCCCUAGUUCCUUCGUCGUGAUACGAAUAAACAACUUUAUGGAUCUUGGAUAAUUAGAUAAGAUUGCCGUAAUUAUAUGCAAUUUAUAUAACACAAUGUAGAGUCUGUUUCAUGUAAAAUACGUAAUAAAUUAGAGACUACUUCUGCUGAGUCAAUUUACAUAAUACAUUUCUAAUUAAACACGAUCCUCGAGGUUAUUAAUAAACUCAAAAUCAAUUACUGAAAUCGUGAAUUCGUUAUAUCGGCUGAAACGUGCGACUGUUUAAUUAAUUCAGAAUUAAUUGGACAUCACAUUGUUCGUGAUGGAUGAUUAUAGUAGAGGA